rnacentral:rRNA from 1 species
AGUGAACGCUGGCGGUAGGCCUAACACAUGCAAGUCGAACGGCAGCACAGUAAGAGCUUGCUCUUACGGGUGGCGAGUGGCGGACAGGUGAGGAAUACAUCGGAAUCUACUUUUUCGUGGGGGAUAACGUAGGGAAACUUACGCUAAUACCGCAUACGACCUACGGGUGAAAGCAGGGGAUCUUCGGACCUUGCGCGAUUGAAUGAGCCGAUGUCGGAUUAGCUAGUUGGCGGGGUAAAGGCCCACCAAGGCGACGAUCCGUAGCUGGUUUGAGAGGAUGAUCAGCCACACUGGAACUGAGACACGGUCCAGACUCCUACGGGAGGCAGCAGUGGGGAAUAUUGGACAAUGGGCGCAAGCCUGAUCCAGCCAUACCGCGUGGGUGAAGAAGGCCUUCGGGUUGUAAAGCCCUUUUGUUGGGAAAGAAAAGCAGCAGGUUAAUACCCCGCUGUUCUGACGGUACCCAAAGAAUAAGCACCGGCUAACUUCGUG